CUCUCGGCCUGCUUGGAAUUUCCCAGCUCUAUCGUGUCAGAUUGCACAUCCCGGACAGUAUAUGCCGGUCAAGGGGGUGAAUAAAAAGUCUCAAUAGCAUUCUUUUGUAAUACUUAAAAGGAGGGCUGUGGGGCUGAAAAGAAAGAGAAGAAAGAGAAAUGUCGCCUCCCUUCUUUUCCAGUUUUCAAGAUGUGCAAGAUACUGAAGAGAUGGCAGUACAGAUGGGAAUACAAAUUUUGACUCUUUUUUUCUGGAGCUCCCUUGUUUUUGCAUGCAGUAUUGUAAGAACUUUCCAUAAUCUACAGCAGACUAGACCACAUCUAGAUCAUCUUGCCCCUUAAUGCUGUCACCUUAAAGGCUACAAAAGCUCAAAAAGAAGCUUCCAUGGGAAACCAAAGAUAAAGAGAAGUUUGGGAG
rnacentral:lncRNA from 1 species